GACGAACGCUGGCGGCGUGCUUAACACAUGCAAGUCGAACGGAAAGGCCCUGCUUUUGUGGGGUGCUCGAGUGGCGAACGGGUGAGUAACACGUGAGUAACCUGCCCUUGACUUUGGGAUAACUUCAGGAAACUGGGGCUAAUACCGGAUAGGAGCUCCUGCUGCAUGGUGGGGGUUGGAAAGUUUCGGCGGUUGGGGAUGGACUCGCGGCUUAUCAGCUUGUUGGUGGGGUAGUGGCUUACCAAGGCUUUGACGGGUAGCCGGCCUGAGAGGGUGACCGGACGGGGUGGGAGAGGGGUGCGGGGCGGGGUGCGGCGGGGGGCGGUAGUGGGGAAGAGCGCAGGGGGGGCGGGGGCCGGAUGCAGCGGCGCGGGGGGGGGGAAGACGGCCGUCGGGUUGGGCACCGCUGGCGCCGGUGAGGAAGAGGGGGGGGGGGUAAGGGGAAAAGAAGCACCGGCUAACGAGGGGGCAGCGGCCGCGGUAAGAAGCGGAAGAGCAAUCGUCUGAAC
rnacentral:rRNA from 1 species